AAAAAAAGUAUUUUCAAAUUGUUUUAGUACAACAAUUCACCUAUCCAACCGGUAAAUAGGCACAAAUCGACACUGUUCGAAGUACAUUAUUUAUUUUGUUUAAAAAUGCAUGGCGUGGCCAUCAAUAAUGGAUCCAGCAGGAGGACGUUAAUUUACUGCAGCUAAUAGCACCUGGCUUAGUGUCUCCCUCCUCCCGGUCCUCCAUUCCCUAAUCAAUAUGUUCCCUGAGUCCGUCCAAAGACACGACGCCAGGUCCAGCCCAGGUUGGCCCAAACACCGCAGUCCCUGUGCCUAUCCAGCCCAUCUGGCAGCAACGGCUCCCCAAGGAUUCCAUGUACGUUGUGGGCCCAGCUUGUGGCAAAUAAGAAACAUAAGAGACUUAGCUCUUGAAGACUGGAAGUUUGCAAAGCAAUCUCAAAAAGGGAUUAAGAUCCUUUGUGGAUAAACAUCUUGUCAUGUGUUCUUGGAAGGACUCGAGGAGGAAGCACAGCAGCAGGAUUAGGUUGUACAGGAUGAGGCAGGAAAAGGAACGUACUUGGAGAGCUGACUCUUUUCUUUCCACCUAUUAUAGAAGUUUUCAAGGUUCAUUUAAAAAUUAUUGUUCUUCACUAAAAAAGCCCCAGAGCACAAGUCUUAUAAAAUCCAAUUAUUAAAAUAAUCUAAACAACCUGGAGUCUCUUCGAGUCAGGUUAAAACGGCUCUGCCAUCUUUCCAGCCUCCCCUGGCUUGUGCCAGUUUUGAGAAAGGAGGUGUGGCACGGCACACACAUUGCCACUCUACAGUGGCAGGGUCCGUCUUCGUCUGAGACGCCCGCUCGGGGCGGGGGGAGGUGAGGCCAGGUAGAGACAGAAGCGCCGGGGUGGGACUUGUUCAGCAGAGGCUGCGGCUACGGGUCCCAUUUUGAGAUUCUUGCCUUUAUCACCAUCCCAUGAGGAGACGCCAUUGGUGUUUGGCUUCAGAAAAGCGUAGGGAAACGCAAAGCCAUGAGGGAUGGCUCUGGUUUGUGUCAUUCAAGAGAUGCCUGGCUCCAUUUCCAUGGUUUAGCGGCAGACUUUUAGUACAUCCAGACAUUUUUAUGGUUGAAUGUGGAAAAGACAGGGUACAUAUUUCCCCUGAAAGUAGAGUUGCUCUUUUUUGCUGGUCUGAGCAACUUUGCUUCCCCAAAGCCAAGGGAACAUUUUCUUCAGCAGGGGUUGGACGCUGUGUGGGACCGACGCCAGUCUGUCGUGAAGCCCAGCUCUGGCCGGGAGGGCUGAGGAUGUGUGGACGAUAG
rnacentral:lncRNA from 1 species